GUAGAAUGAGGAAGUGCUGCGCGGAUCUCAGCAUACUGAUAGCUUCUGUGCAGGGACUGUUUCCUAGGCUACCUGGUCGGAGCUGAACUCUAAUCAUGGCAGUCGGAGGGUGUUUGAAAAAAGCAGUACUACUUGUCGGCCAGUAACUCCUAUCACAUCUGAUGAUGAUGACGCUGCGGAAGCAGGUCCAUCAAAAGAAGUAUGGAGCAGCAGAAGUGGGACUUCUGUAAGACAUCACCACAAAAAACCUGUGGCCGAAAAGAAAGCAAGGUCGUAUGUCCCGGCCCAACCACAGCAGGCUACCCCGCCACGAAGAUUAUCGUCCGUAUGUUCUGGAAAAGUGGAAAAACACACUACAGGCUGAUCCAACUUUGGGAUGUAAUGUCCUUAAAACAAGUCAAAAUGAGGCUCAGUAGUGUGUAUGGCCUCCACGUGCCUGUAUGACCUCCCUACAAUUCCUGGGCAUGCUCCUGAUGAGGUGGCGGAUGGUCUCCUGAGGGAUCUCCUCCCAGACCUGGACUAAAGCAUCCGCCAACUCCUGGACAGUCUGUGGUGCAACAUGGUGUUGGUGGCUUGAGCGAGACAUGAUAUCCCAGAUGUGCUCAAUUGGAUUCAGGUCUGGGGAACGGGCGGACCAGUCCAUAACAUCAAUGCCUUCGUCUUGCAGGAACUGCUGACACACUCCAGCCACAUGAGGUCUAGCAUUGUCUUGCAUUAGGAGGAACCCAGGGCCAACCUCACCAGCAUAUGGUCUCACAAUGGGUCUGAGGAUCUCAUCUCGGUACCUAAUGCCAGUCAGGCUACCUCUGGCGAGCACAUGGAGGGCUGUGCGGCCCACCAAAUAAAUGCCACCCCACACCAUUACUGACCCACUGCCAAACCGGUCAUGCUGGAGGAUGUUGCAGGCAGCAGAACGUUCUCCUUGGCGUCUCCAGACUCUGUCAUGUCUGUCACAUGUGAUCAGUGAGAACCUGCUUUCAUCUGUGAAGAGCACAGGGUGCCAGUGGCGAAUUUGCCAAUCUUGGUGUUCUCUGGCAAAUGCCAAACGUCCUGCACGGUGUUGGGCUGUAAGCACAACCCCCACCUGUAGAUGUCGGGCCCUCAUACCACCCUCAUGGAGUCUGUUUCUGAUCAUUUGAGUAGACACAUGCACAUUUGUGGCUUGCUGGAGGUCAUUUUGCAGGGCUCUGGCAGUGCUCCUCCUGUUCCUCCUUGAACAAAGGCGGAGGUAGCUGUCCUGCUGCUGGGUUGUUGCCCUCCUACGGCCUCCUCCACGUCUCCUGAUGUACUGGCCUGUCUCCUGGUAGCGCCUCCAUGCUCUGGACACUACGCUGACAGUCACAGCAAACCUUCUUGCCACAGCUCGCAUUGAUGUGCCAUCCUGGAUGAGCUGCACUACCUGAGCCACUUGUGUGGGUUGUAGACUCCGUCUCAUGCUACCACUAGAAUAAAAGCACCGCCAGCUUUCGAAAGUGACCAAACCAUCAGCCAGAAAGCAUAGGAGCUGAGAAGUGGUCUGUGGUCACCACCUGCAGAACAACUCCUUUAUUGGGGGUGUCUUGCUAAUUGCCUAUAAUUUCCACCUGUUGUCUAUUCCAUUUGCGCAACAACAUGUGAAAUUGAUUGUCAAUCAGUGUUGCUUCCUAAGUGGACAGGUUGAUUUCACAGAAGUGUGAUUGACUUGGAGUUACAUUGUGUUGUUUAAGUGUUCCCUUUAUUUUUUUGAGCAGUGUAUAUAUAUAUAUAUAUAUAUAUAUAUAGUGUCCUUAGUAUGGGCGGCACUCAGAGACUUGAAGAGUAAUAACCUUAGUGAACAA